UUAAGGAUUAAAAAAGCCAAGGGGCAGGGGUCAGCAGGGGACUGGUUCAAGGCCGACUGUGGAAAAGAGACGGGGUGCAGGCUGCCUUUUGUUCCCAGGAGGGUGUCCUGAGAGUGAAACCUGUCACGGAGCCCAGCAAACUCCAACACUGCUUGACACAUCUGGCACACAGAGCCGCUGAGCUGCUAAGCCUCUGCAUCCUGCAGCCGAGCGUCACAGAGAUUCCGGAUGCAGGCAAGCAGAGUUUCUCCUGAAGCUGUGAUCCCGAGCUUUUCAUACUCAAGGGAAGGCAAGGAAGUGCCUCCAUCUGCUCCAUCAGACAUAGCUGCUUUGCC